rnacentral:lncRNA from 1 species
UCGUGAGAUAACCCAUAGUACGGUGUCUGUCCCACGAGUGUGUAGUAUUGCGGCUUCAACUCGAAGUUCCUCCUCUAAAUAGUUGGAGGGCGAAUGGCUGAUCUGUUGGUGUAGAACUGAUCUGGACAGUUGUAGUCAGCCAACGUUCUAGGUCGAACAACCACAUCUACAGGUAGAGUAGUGUCUGUAGCAUCAGUAUUAGACUCAGGGAUUGCAGCCCCCUGAGCAUCUAUCCUCUGACCUGCUGCAUUACGCAGAUGACCUUCCUGUUCAUGUAGGUCUCCUCUCUCACCACCUACAAGAAUCAAUGGCGCAACCAUGUCUCGCGGCUCAA